UUUGCCUUCACUUUUAUUUAUGUAGAAUUCCAUAAUCAUACCUUGUUCAUCGGAUCCUUACUUGAUUAUAUUCUCACAAUUUUUGUCACUUACAAAUUCUAGUUUCUGGUAGUUCAACUAUUCCUUAAGUUUUCCAAUAUAAAAGCCUCUCCAUUUUCACCUCUAAGGACAUCCAAAUUUGAGAUUUCACUUCACAAAAAACAUUACAGUUUGAUAAAACUUUUUUGGAUUUUAGUUAAGAUGUUCAGAGAGAAAGUCAUAGUGUGAUUUUUUGCAAGUACUUUCCUGUCUUUUCUUGCUUUCUCAGGAGGACGACAAAAAUGCUCCGACAAUAUGACCAUGUGGCCUGAUUAUCUGAUUUCGUGUUAUUGUUGAGAUUACGAGGCUACGAAUAAUCUUCAGUGGAUUGCAAGACCAGAAGUAAGUUGGAAGUCAAGAAAUUAUCCUUCAGGUGCAUACAGAGGAGUAGAGGAUAUUGCUAGAAGAUGUUCCAACUGGAUUGGCGAGCUCCAUUUCUUUCCGGAGUGUUGCCGAGUCAGAGUACCCAUGUCAUGGCAUAAUGAAUUAUGUUAGAGACUUUGCAGAUAGAGUCACGUAUAUAGUAUGUCAUUCUUGUAAGCGGCUAUUUAAGCCGAUGUAUCAUUAUGCAUUAUGUUACAAAUUUCAUACGAUUACAGAUUUUGCUUGAUUUGAGAAACACGAAAAGAAUGUUUUUGUUAAAAGCUUUCACUAUGUUUUUCAGUUCAUGACUUAAGGAUUAUGAGAUAACGAGAUCCAGCGGGUUCGUUCGGCUCUAAGUAAGGGUCGGGUGCCCAUCAUGCCCUAUCAGGAUUGGGGUGUGACAGAACUCCAAGGAAACCAUAUUUUUGUAAAAUUCUCUCAAAAUAAAGAAA